GCCGCCGCGCCGCUCGCUGUGCCACGCGCGCCGCCUCGCCGCCGGCCGCUGCGGCGACGCCGGAGUGUACAGAAUCCACCAGCUCGUGUCCCUUUUGCUGCGUGGCUACCGUGGAUCCUCUCCCUCUCAAAGGGACAGCACGCCUCCGUCGUCGCGCCUGCACAGGCCGCCGCUCCCCCAUGCCGCUGUCCACCACCUACGCGACGGAAUGCAAAGCCCGAGCGCGCGUCCCUCUGCUUCCUUCUUCAACUCCCUCGUUGCUUCUCGCGCGCGCGCCGGCCGCGCCGCCGAGGCCUUCGCGCUCCUCGCGCGCAUGCUCGCUGCGGGCGUCGCGCCGACGGCGUUCACCUUCGCGCCGAUACUCUCCUCGCCUUCAGUCGGCGCCCGCUGCGCAGCGCAGCUUCACCCUCACAUCCUCAAGAGCGGGCUGAUCCACAGCGACCCGUACUCCGGGACAUCGUUGGUGGGGUUCUUCGGGCGGAACGGCCGGUUUGAUGAUGCGCUCAGGUUGUUCGGCGAAAUGCCUGUGCGGAGCGUCGUCACCUGGAACUGCCUGAUCUCUUCGUUUGUGCAGCAUGGACGCGAUCGCGAUGCUGCGAUCUGGUUCAGGGCGCUGAUACGAAGUGGUGACGGUGUGUCUGAUGGCUCCCUCGUGGCAGUAUUGCCUGCUUUUGGCACACCAGAGCAAGUUCAUGGGCUUGUGAAGAAAAUUGCAAUGGAUUCUUUCUCAACAGUUGCAAACUCCUUGCUGAAUUCAUAUUGUACUUACUGUUCCACGUUUGUGGCAGAAAAUCUGUUUAAUGAGUUGAUGUUCAGAGACGUGGUUUCUUGGAAUACAAUGAUCAUUACUUUUGCUAAGAGAAGCAUGUCUCAGAGAGCUCUUGAAUUUUUCUGGAUGAUGGAAGGAAGGAUGCUUACAAAGUUCUUGAAGAAGCUCCUGAGGAUAGCACCACACGUUGGAAUUGUCUGAUUUCUGGUUAUUCAGAUACUGAUGUUCCAACAUCAUUUGUUUUUCUGAGAGAAAUGUUGCGAUCUGGGGUUAUGCCAAACGAGGUUAGUUUUUCUUCUUUGCUCAAGGACCCACUUCAGUUCCAUCUGCUGCAGAUUCACUCGUUGGUAACAAGAUUGGGUUAUGACGGCUAUGACUAUGUCUCAAGUGCCAUUAUAUCUUCAUAUGCUUCACAUGAAAUGGUUUCUGAUGCUUUGGCUUAUGGAGGUUUGUUAGAUCCUGACUCCUGUGUUGUCUCCAUGAAUGUUUUAGCUGGGGUAUAUAACAGAGUUCGUAUGUAUGAAGAAGUGAAGAAACUACUUUUACAUCAGGGAAGUAAUGACACUGUUUCAUGGAGCAUACUUAUCACUGCUUGUGCAAAAAAUGGAGAUUAUGCUGAAGCUUUUAAAAUUUUCAAACGGAUGAGAAUUUGUGGGCAUCAUUUUGAUAGAUAUGCAUCUGUGAGCCUUCUAAGCAUUUGUACAAAAUCUAAUAGCCUUGUCCUUGGCAGUUCACUUCAUGGGCUUAUCAUCAAGACCAAUUCUGGUUGCUUAGAUACUUAUGUUCAUAAUAUAUUGCUAGAUAUGUAUGCUAAAUGUGGUAGAAUUGAAGACUGUCUGAAAGCCUUUAAGGAAAUGGAAGGUAGGAACAUUAUCUCCUGGACUGCUGUAAUUUCUGGCCUUGCACUUAAUGGUUUUUCUCAUAAGGCCUUGGCAUGGUUUAAAGCUAUGGAAGAGGAUGGCUUUAAUCCUGACAAUGUAGCAGUUACAGCGGUCCUUUCAUCAUGUAGACAUGGUGGACUGGUACAUGAAGGAAUGAAGAUAUUCAGACAUAUGAAGUCUGAUUAUUCGCUUGAGCCUGAGAUGGAGCAUUACAUUUGUGUGGUGGACAUGCUAUGCAAAUGUGGUUAUUUGAAGGAAGCCGAGGUUGUGAUUAGAGACAUGCCUUUCCAACCAAGUGCUGUCAUAUGGCGCACAUUCCUCCAAGGUUGCCAGACAUAUGGUGUGAUAGAUGCUCAAGUAUUUAGCUAGCAAAUUUGUCAUAUGAGCUUUGGCUAUUUGAAGAAGCUGAGACUUUUGUUAAAGGCAUACCUUUCCAAGUCUCAACCAGGACCUAUCAUAUGCGGCACAUCCCUCCAACUCUCCAAGGUUGCCAGAAAGAUACACAAGUGUUUAGCUAGAAAUGUUUCAGGUGAAGUUGCACUUGAUAAACAAUCAGGUGAAGUUGCACUCGAUAAAUAGUGAAGCAAUAUCAAUAGAAGAUCUAUAAGUUGUUACCAUCGCCAUAAGGAGAAGAAGGUUGCAUGGGAAAUGUGGCCGUUAAAAAGAAACUGACCUCGACAAAGCGUCUCUUGUCGAUUCAACUGGUUCUCAUCCUUUUUGAAAUAUACAGCGGGGUAUACACACCGUGAGGUCUGGAAAGCAAAAUGAAAAUGGUAACAAAGUUGGAAAUAUCUGAAGAUAAUGUUCAGCCACUUAUAUUCAGGUAAUGGGUUUAAUGUAAAAAAGGGAAGAAUGACACCAUCGCUUAAGGUUGUGCUUGGUUGUAUAGAUGGGGCUGGAUGGGAGAUGGCUGCUUGAAUUUCUGAGAUGUUCAGUUCAUUGGGGCGAGUAAGGGAUAGGGCAGCCAUCAGGCGAGUAUGCUGGAUGAAUAGAUCCGGUUGAUUUGGUUGGAUGGAGUCUUCCAUGUUUUGCUUUUUGUGAUGUGGCCUAUGCUGAUUGGAUGCAAUGGAUUUAAUUUUAUGUUAGCAAGCUUCAAAUGACUUUUCCGUCUAUAUUAAUUAUCCAAUGUGUGAU